CAGUAAUUAACCUUGAGAGCUCGCUUUCUGAAGUGCUCUUCUCUGUAGGAAAAUCACCCACAGCUCCUACGACAGCCACUAUCUGCAAGUUAGACGUGGCUGAAGAGCACAGUGCUGUAACCACCAUUACAGAACAAGCAAUUCAAACACUCCGUAGCGGCUGAACACGAAGACGGCACUCCACUGGGGUGACCUUUGACUCUUGGCAGAGAGCGAUUUCACUGAGGGAAUUCACUCUGGUGGAUGAGUCUCUAGUGUUUGUCAAGAUCUUUGUGGAAACAAACACUCAGAGGAUCUUUGUGGAACAGUCCAGAAAUAAUUGAGUAAGCCAAGAGACCCCUAUCUCCCCUCUGCAAAAAAUGUCAGGUUAAACUUUCUUUUGAGGACUCCCUAAUUGAUGCUCUUGUAUAAAUAAUUGCUAUUUCCCAGCACUUUCUCUUUUCCCUUUUACUGAGAAAAAUACAAAAGAAAAGUCAACCGAAUCAAGA
rnacentral:lncRNA from 1 species